rnacentral:rRNA from 1 species
GAUGAACGCUGGCGGCGUGCCUAAUACAUGCAAGUCGAGCGAACGGACGAGAAGCUUGCUUCUCUGAUGUUAGCGGCGGACGGGUGAGUAACACGUGGAUAACCUACCUAUAAGACUGGGAUAACUUCGGGAAACCGGAGCUAAUACCGGAUAAUAUUUUGAACCGCAUGGUUCAAUAGUGAAAGACGGUUUUGCUGUCACUUAUAGAUGGAUCCGCGCCGCAUUAGCUAGUUGGUAAGGUAACGGCUUACCAAGGCAACGAUGCAUAGCCGACCUGAGAGGGUGUUGGGCCACAUGGAACCUGAGCCCCGGUCAAGGCUCCUACGGUGGGCGCAGGUGGGAAAUCUUCCGAAGUGGGCGAAGGCCUGCCGAGGCAACGCCGCGUGGUUGAUGAGGGCCUACGGUUCGAAAAACUCUUUUUUUGGGAAAAAAAAAAUGUUUAGGAACCUGGGCCCACUUGGCCGGACCCAAUCAAGAAGGCCCCGGUUACCUCCGU